rnacentral:rRNA from 1 species
UACGUAGGUGGCAAGCGUUAUCCGGAAUUAUUGGGCGUAAAGAGCGCGCAGGUGGUUGAUUAAGUCUGAUGUGAAAGGCUACGGCUCAACCGUAGUAAGCCUUUGAAACUGGGAAACUUGAGUGCAGGAGAGGAGAGUGGAAUUCCUAGUGUAGCGGUGAAAUGCGUAGAUAUUAGGAGGAACACCAGUUGCGAAGGCGGCUUACUGGACUGUAACUGACACUGAGGCUCGAAAGCGUGGGGAGCAAACAGGAUUAGAUACCCUGGUA